rnacentral:rRNA from 1 species
CAUGCGAAUCUCGAAAGCCUAUCUCAGUUCGGAUUGGAGGCUGAAACCCGCCUCCAUGAAGUUGGAUUCGCUAGUAAUCGCGCAUCAGCCAUGGCGCGGUGAAUACGUUCCCGGGCCUUGUACACACCGCCCGUCAAGCCAUGGGAGCCGGGGGUGCCUGAAGUUCGUUACCGCAAGGAUCGACCUAGGGCAAAACUGGUGACUGGGGCUAAGUCGUAACAAGGUACC